rnacentral:rRNA from 1 species
AGUGAACGCUGGCGGCGUGCUUAACACAUGCAAGUCGAACGAUGAACCGGAGAUUGCUCUGGGGAUUAGUGGCGAACGGGUGAGUAACACGUGGGCAACCUGCCCCAGACACCGGGAUAACCAUUUGAAAGGAUGGCUAAUACCGGAUACGACCACUUCGGGCAUCCGAUGGUGAUGGAAAGGAUUCUGGUCUGGGAUGGGCCCGCGGCCUAUCAGCUUGUUGGUGGGGUAAUGGCCUACCAAGGCGACGACGGGUAGCCGGCCUGAGAGGGCGGCCGGCCACACUGGGACUGAGACACGGCCCAGACUCCUACGGGAGGCAGCAGUGGGGAAUAUUGCGCAAUGGGCGAAAGCCGGACGCAGCGACGCCGCGUGAGGGACGAAGGUCUUCGGAUUGUAAACCUCUUUCAGCAGGGAUGAAGCGAAAGUGACAGUACCUGCAGAAGAAGCACCGGCUAACUACGUGCCAGCAGCCGCCGUAA